UACGUAGGGUGCGAGCGUUGUCCGGAAUUACUGGGCGUAAAGAGCUCGUAGGUGGUUUGUCGCGUUGUUCGUGAAAACUCACAACUCAAUUGUGGGCGUGCGGGCGAUACGGGCAGACUGGAGUACUGCAGGGGAGACUGGAAUUCCUGGUGUAGCGGUGGAAUGCGCAGAUAUCAGGAGGAACACCGGUGGCGAAGGCGGAUCUCUGGGCCUUACCUGACGCUCAGGUGCGAAAGCUAGGGGAGCGAACAGG
rnacentral:rRNA from 1 species